AAAGUAAAAUCGAUUUGUCGCUUCUGUUGACAUUUCGGAAUUGGGUUGUCUUAUCCUUUCGGGUUAAGAGACCUGAAAUUGACGCUUCUUUGCGCAUCCUGAACGUGUGUAAUUCAUUUAUCCGUUUUCGGUGCCGAAUUCUAUUAGGUAUGGUCAUGUCGUGUGGUCUCGUACCUAUAAUUCAUCAUG
rnacentral:misc_RNA from 1 species